UGGGGAAUAUUGGACAAUGGGCGCAAGCCUGAUCCAGCCAUGCCGCGUGAGUGAUGAAGGCCUUAGGGUUGUAAAGCUCUUUCGGCGGGGACGAUAAUGACGGUACCCGCAGAAGAAGCCCCGGCUAACUUCGUGCCAGCAGCCGCGGUAAUACGAAGGGGGCUAGCGUUGCUCGGAAUCACUGGGCGUAAAGGGCGCGUAGGCGGACAUUUAAGUCGGGGGUGAAAGCCCAGGGCUCAACCCUGGAAUUGCCUCCGAUACUGGGUGUCUCGAGACCGGAAGAGGUGAGUGGAACUGCGAGUGUAGAGGUGAAAUUCGUAGAUAUUCGCAAGAACACCAGUGGCGAAGGCGGCUCACUGGUCCGGUUCUGACGCUGAGGCGCGAAAGCGUGGGGAGCAAACAGGAUUAGAUACCCUGGUAGUCCACGCCGUAAACGAUGGAUGCUAGCCGUUGGCAGGCUUGCCUGUCAGUGGCGCAGCUAACGC
rnacentral:rRNA from 1 species